rnacentral:rRNA from 1 species
CAGCAGCCACGGUAAUACGGAGGGGGCUAGCGUUGUUCGGAAUUACUGGGCGUAAAGCGCACGUAGGCGGCUUGGUAAGUUAGAGGUGAAAGCCCGGAGCUCAACUCCGGAAUUGCCUUUAAGACUGCCGAGCUAGUAGGUGAGAGAGGUAAGUGGAAUUCCGAGUGUAGAGGUGAAAUUCGUAGAUAUUCGGAAGAACACCAGUGGCGAAGGCGGCUUACUGGCUCAUUCUAGACGCUGAGGUGCGAAAGCGUGGGGAGCAAACAGGAUUAGAUACCCCAGUAGUCCCUGUCUCUUAUAA